rnacentral:rRNA from 1 species
UACGUAGGGGGCAAGCGUUGUCCGGAAUCAUUGGGCGUAAAGCGCGUGUAGGCGGCCAGGUAAGUCCGUUCUGAAAGCCCGGGGCUCAACCCCGGGAGGCGGAUGGAUACUGCUUGGCUCGAGUCCGGAAGAGGCGAGUGGAAUUCCCGGUGUAGCGGUGAAAUGCGCAGAUAUCGGAAGGAACACCAAUGGCGAAGGCAGCUCGCUGGGACGGUACUGACGCUGAGACGCGAAAGCGUGGGGAGCAAACAGG